GACGAACGCUGGCGGCGUGCUUAACACAUGCAAGUCGAACGGAAAGGCCCUGCUUUUGUGGGGUGCUCGAGUGGCGAACGGGUGAGUAACACGUGAGUAACCUGCCCUUGACUUUGGGAUAACUUCAGGAAACUGGGGCUAAUACCGGAUAGGAGCUCCUGCUGCAUGGUGGGGGUUGGAAAGUUUCGGCGGUUGGGGAUGGACUCGCGGCUUAUCAGCUUGUUGGUGGGGUAGUGGCUUACCAAGGCUUUGACGGGUAGCCGGCCUGAGAGGGUGACCGGCCAAAUUGGGACUGGGAUACGGCACAGACUCCUACGGGAGGGAGCAGUGGGGAAUAUUGCACAAUGGGCGGAAGCCUGAUGCAGCAACGCCGCGUGCGGGAUGACGGCCUUCGGGUUGUAAACCGCUUUCGCCUGUGACGAAGCGUGAGUGACGGUAAUGGGUAAAGAAGCACCGGCUAACUACGUG
rnacentral:rRNA from 1 species